GACGAACGCUGGCGGCGUGCUUAACACAUGCAAGUCGAACGGAAAGGCCCUGCUUUUUUGGGGUGCUCGAGUGUCGAACGGUUGAUUACCACGUGAUUAACCUGCCCUUGACUUUGGGCUAACUUCAGGAAACUGGGGCUAAUACCGGAUAGGUGCUCCUGCUUCAUGUCUGGGGUUGGCAAGUUUCGGCGGUUGGGGAUGGACUCGCGGCUUAUCAGCUUGUUGGUGGGGUAGUGGCUUACCAAGUCUUUGACGGGUAGCCGGACUGAGAGGGUGACAGGGCACAGGGGGACUGAGAUACGGACAAGACUCAGACGGGGGGGAGAAGUGGGAAAUAUUGCACAAGGGGCGGAAGCCUGAUGCAGCAACGCCGCGGGCGGGAUAACUGCCUGCGGGUUGUAAACCGCUUUCGCCUGGGACGAAGAGUGAGUGACGGUAAUAGAUAAAGAAGCACCGGCUAACUACGUG
rnacentral:rRNA from 1 species